rnacentral:hammerhead_ribozyme from 1 species
AUCCAGCUGACGAGUCCCGAAUAGGACGAAGCGCGCGUCCUGGAU